AAUGAGAGCGAAGAUGAGAUUGAGAGGGAAGAUGAGAAUGGAGGAUGAGAUGAAUGAGUAAUAAAAGUGAAAACAAAAACAAAAACAUGAAAUCUAUUUGAAAUUGUUUUCACUUUUGUUACUCUUCCCUCCCAUCCUCCCCUCUCAAUCUCAUCCUCAUCCUCACUCC
rnacentral:miRNA from 1 species